AAAAUUCUCCGGGGACAUACCACACAAAGAUGGAAAAACGCAGACUGGACUGUGUCGGUCUACCCCCAGGCUGGAAACGCGAAGAGGUUGUCAGAAAAUCGGGACUUUCUGCCGGGAAAACUGAUGUUUAUUAUAUAAGGAAUGAGGCACGACAGUAGCUUAGUAUUACCUAUACGUCAGACCGCCUCCAUCUUUAAACAGCCAGUCACUGUGAUCCACAGGCAGGAGAGCAAGACAAAGUCCGAGCUCAAACAUGGGCCUCAGGAUCCUCCCAAACAGUUAUUUUGGGAGAAGCGACUACAAGGCAUUCAGGCCUGUGAUAGCCAAGAAGAGGUAAUCAAAGCACUGGACCUACCCAGAAAUGUACAAGGAGUAGGGCCUGAGCUGACAACUGAGAACAUCUUACAGAGUAUAUCAGCAGCUCUACACAUCAGCAGCAGCCCCGUCGUAGGCCAGGGCAACAAUCGAGCGACGGUGGCCAAAAAUCCCGGGGUCAACAUCGACGUGUAUCAGCCACACAUACAGCAAGUAAUAGUGUCAGAAGAUGACAUUCGUAGACAAGAAGUGAAAGUGAUUGAGGCCAGAAGAAAGCUACAGGAUGCGAUAAAGGGAAUUAUGUAGCAGGUUUCCAAAAUACAGUCCGCCAUUGUCACAUGAAAGCCCAGUAGAUCUGAGACUAGAUAAUGCACGUGUCAUUAGUGUUUCUGUUGUCGUAUUCAUUUUACCUUGAUUAUAAUUGAUCAUGUAAUUCAAUUUUUUUAUCAAAUUAGAAAUAAAAUUUCAUUGAUGCUGUGCGUGUGUGAAAGAUUUCCCUCCCAAAAAUCAUUUGUAAUAUUUAUUGAAAAUAAAAUUGAGUUUUAAUUU
rnacentral:misc_RNA from 1 species